rnacentral:antisense_RNA from 1 species
GUCUUAGUCCUCUGAUUAUUUUUUCUUUUUUCAGAACCUGAGAAAGAUGAAUGAAAUUUAGUGUUUCCCAUCCCUGAGAGACACCCAGCAUCCACAACUUCACACUCUGAUGCCAUUGUGUAUUUAUGCGAGGAAUACCAUAACUAAGAUGAGGUCUCGCUAUGUUGCCUAGGCUAGUCUUGAACUCCUGGCCUCAAAUGAUCCUUCUGCUUCAGCAUCGGGAGUCACUGGGAUUAAAGGCAUGAGCCACCAUGCUCAGGAACUUGACAUCAUCAGACAGUAAAUCAAGAGGUACUGACAACUGAGACUGAGUGAUGGUCCCUGCCUAGGAUUUGGAAUCUUUGCAUGAAAUAGGGACUCUAGCCACCAGUGACAAAGAAGUCAGGGAGACUGCGGUCUCUAGGAAGCACUUCCAGGAAACAGGAAUUCAGGCAAAGUUGGACAUUCCAAAGAUGGCGUAGAUGAACAUGACCAGGAAGAGCAGGAGGCCGAUGUUAAACAACGCAGGAAGGGACAUCAUCAAAGCAAAGAGCAGCGUGCGGAUCCCCUUUGCUCCUUUGACUAGACGUAGGAUUCGGCCAAUCCUGGCAAGACGGAUCACUCGGAACAGGGUAACAGAGAUCUCUGGAGGUGAAACAUUGCUCUGAACUGGCAUUGAUUCUAGCCCAGCUCUUGUAGACCAAUUACCAACUUCUCCAUCUCCCUCCAGUGCCUGGAACUGGACCUGGCACACAGGCCUCUGGCUCAUCGGAAUUCAUAGGUUCAGCCUCUGCUUCUUCUCCUUCUCCAGGCAAAGGGUUAUCAACUGUGCUGCACUCUGAGGAGCUUGACUGGUUUAAUCUCUAGAAAGGAAUUCACCACCCCACCAGCACGCGGAACACAAUCAGGAAGGAGUGGAAGAAGUCGUUCAUGUGCCACCGUGGGAGCGUACAGUCAUCAUUGAUCUUGCAGACACAUUCUUUGUAGCUCUUACCAAAGAGCUGCAUGCCGACCACAGCAAAAAUGAAGACGAUGAUGGCCAACACUAAGCCUUUAGACUAAAAAGAAAACAAAUAUUACAUACCCUGAAUCUGUGCUGAAACCACAAAGGAGAGCAUCUUUGGAUCCCUCCAAGUAAUAAAAGUAUUCUGUUGAAGAAGAAUUUGAACAGUUAUAACAUUACAGACUUUAAUCUGUGAUUGUGGUAAAGGAGGUCAAAUUAAAAAAUCUGAUUAUUGGGAGACUUUUGGAGUAAUCAUGGAAGAAAGACUAUGAAAUCAGAUAUUCUUGGAUUUGAAUGUUGCUUCUAUCCCUUCUUAACUUAAAUCCAUGGGCAUUCAUUAUCAUCAGUCCCUAACCUGGCAGAACCACAGUCUACACAUAAUCUAGCAUCUGUCUUUUCCAUGCUAGCUACCAAAUGGCUGAAUGUUGGUGGAGAAACUCUCACAACCAAGUGAAUGGUUAUAUUUUAAUUUCGCUCUUGUUGCCCAGGCUGGAGUGCAAUGGCACGAUCUCGGCUCACCGCAACCUCUGCCUCCCGAGUUCAAGCGAUUCUCCUGCCUCAGCCUCCUGAGUAGCUGGAAUUACAGGCGCCCACCACCAUGCCCGGCUAAUUUUUUGUAUUUUUGGUAGAGACGGGGUUUCUUUUUUUUUCUUCUUUUUUUGUAUUAUUUUUUAGCAAAAAAAAAAAAAAAAAAUACAUGAAGCAAUUCCAGAAAGCGAUGAAUUAAAUUAAAUUUGAUUAAAGGCUGUCUGUGUACAUAGAGAAUUGCAAUCUAACUUCAUAUGUAAACAAACUGCAUUCUAAUCUGUUAGUAUAUUCUUGUAACAAGUAGCUGUCUCAGCCAAUCACAGCAGCUGAGCUUCAGCCAACCACAGCCUGCUGACUUAUCAGACAAUGUCCACAUAAGGCAAAUGUCAAGCUAUAAGCAAUCAAGCUGUUUUUGUGUGUCACUCCCUUUUUCUAUCUAUAAAUACUCCUGCUCAUGUUGCUGAGUUGAGCUCUCCGAACUUCUCUUGGUUCUGAGUGCUGCCUAAAUCAUUAUUAUUAUUAUCUUAUUUCAGCAAUAAAUACUAUUUCUUGCUGAAAUAAGCUGCUAAAUUUAAUUGGUUGAAAAUUUUUCUUUUAACAAAGGUUAAGAAAACCAUUCAUAGUAUAAACUCAGAAAUAGGAGCAAGACUCAGAAUAAAAGGACAGAUCCUAGGGAGAAAACUUAAGUUUAAAUAAGUGUGGUAAAAUAAUCUACAAUAUUAAAUGUAAGUUACUCAUCAGAUAUAUUAAUUUUACAGCAUAUAAAUUAAGAAAUAAAAUUCUCCAUCAAUUGGAAA